CCUACGGGGGGCUGCAGUGGGGAAUAUUGCACAAUGGGCGCAAGCCUGAUGCAGCCAUGCCGCGUGUGUGAAGAAGGCCUUCGGGUUGUAAAGCACUUUCAGCGGGGAGGAAGGCGUUGAGGUUAAUAACCUCAUCGAUUGACGUUACCCGCAGAAGAAGCACCGGCUAACUCCGUGCCAGCAGCCGCGGUAAUACGGAGGGUGCAAGCGUUAAUCGGAAUUACUGGGCGUAAAGCGCACGCAGGCGGUCUGUCAAGUCGGAUGUGAAAUCCCCGGGCUCAACCUGGGAACUGCAUUCGAAACUGGCAGGCUAGAGUCUUGUAGAGGGGGGUAGAAUGCCAGGUGUAGCGGUGAAAUGCGCAGAGAUCUGGAGGAAUACCGGUGGCGAAGGCGGCCCCCUGGACAAAGACUGACGCUCAGGUGCGAAAGCGUGGGGAGCAAACAGGAUUAGAUACCCGGGUAGUC
rnacentral:rRNA from 1 species